GAAAUGCGAUAAGUAAUGUGAAUUGCAGAAUUCAGUGAAUCAUCGAAUCUUUGAACGCACAUUGCGCCCUCUGGUAUUCCGGAGGGCAUGCCUGUUCGAGCGUCAUUACACCCCUCAAGCUCCGGCUUGAUGUUGGGCCCACGCCAUCGUCUAGGUGGCGGGCCUCAAAAUCAGUGGCGACGCCCUUCGGCUUCAAGCGUAGUAAUCUUUUCUCGCUUGGAAGGUCCGGUAGGAGUCUGUUCCGCCAUAACUGGGAACGCAAGUUCCCUUCUCCUAUAGUUUGACCUCGGAUCAGGUAGGGAUACCCGCUGAACUUAA
rnacentral:misc_RNA from 1 species